CGCUGCGCCGCGCCGCACCGGCGGACGUUUGCCCGGCAGAGGCGCGCGGGACGGCCUCGAGGGUCAGCUGUUGGUUACCCCGCGGAGUGCCACGCGUCUGCUCUCGUGGUGCCCCGUUGUUGGGGGGGAGUGAGAAGGAGAAAGGCAGAGCAGAGAGCGCGCAACGCGGUCGCCGUGGCAACGCGGUUGAGUGGGCGUUUCGCCGAGCGUCGCCGUCAGAGGUAGUCGGCGAGCUCACGUCCACAUGGCGAAGCCGGCUUACCGUGCCCGAUCCGGAGCCCCGCGGUGCCCCCCGGUGAGAGCGUGGGGUGUCUGCAGGUCGCGCGCGAAACGCCACAGCAAAACUGCAAAUGGCAAUCGAUACAAAGAGCUCAAUAGCGCUAUCUGAUAGAGCACAUUCUGAGCUAAUAUUUUUCACUAUUUUUCAACGCAGUCACCACCAUUACCUACAUUUUCAUCAGCAAUGAGCAAAAGCCUGCAUGACUGGUAAAAAUGGAGAUGGAUUAUUGUUGCUGUCUCCACUCCUGAGAUGCACCACCGUUGCAUCACUGUGAUCACAUCCCCAUAAGAUUCAGAGGGCAUCUAUGAAUGUCAAUGGGUCCCAUUUUUUUUCACAUGGAGGAAUUCAAUGACACACUUUUUCUUCAUACACUCUUCCACAUCAGACGCCAUUCUGUCAGACUGUCCCACUGCUGCCAUCUGUUGCACAGCGACAAAAUCUUCAUGUCCUUGUGCUGAGGGCUCCAUUCCUGGACACAGUACUGCAGGUAGAGCCUCAAGAGCAAAGAGGGACAAUCACCUCCCUCAUGCUGCUGGCUAUCCCUUUUUUUUCACACAGCUCAGGAUACAGUUGGACUUCCAGGCUGUAAAUGCUCACUGCUAGCUCAUGUCAAGCUUCUCAUCCACCAGAAGAAUCAUAGAAUCAUUAAGGUUGGAAAGUACCUCCAGGAUCAUCUACUCCAGCCAUCAACCCAUCACUGCCAUGCCCACUAAACCAUGUCCCUCAGUGCUGCAUCUACCCUUUUCUUGAUGAUGACUCCACCACUUCCCCGGGCAGCCUGUUCCAAGGUGCUACCACUCUGUCUAAGAAGAAAUUCUUCCUAAUUUCUUUCUAAUCUAAACUGAACCUCCCGUGGUGCAACUUGAAGCCAUUACCUCUUGUCCUGUCACUAGCCACCUGGGAGAAGAGGCCUUAGUCCCACCUUUGUACAACCUCCUGUCAAGCAGUUGUGGAAAGCAAUAGGUUCUCACCUGAGCCUUCUCUUCGCCAGACUAAACAAUCCCAGUUUAUUCAGCUGCUCCUUGUAAGCCUUGUGCUCCAGAUCCCUCACCAACUUCAUUGUCCUUCUCUGUACAUGCUCCAGUGCCUCAGUGUCUGUCUUGUUAGUGAGGGGCCCAAAACUGAGCACACUACUCAAAGUGUGGCUUCACCAGUGCCAAGUACAGAGGUAUAAUCAUCUCCCUGUUCCUGC
ensembl:lncRNA